rnacentral:lncRNA from 1 species
AACUUCAAGCCAAUGUAAAACAGUGCCAAAACAUGAGAAAUGAAUGGGACCAAAACCAAAAUGACAUUGAACAUGUUAGGCAUCACUCCAUCAAAUUUCAUCUUCAUAUGAUAAGGUAUGAGCAUUUCACAUAGCAUGUAAGGCAGUCACUCAAGCAAAACCCUAAAAUGUCUAAACAGCAAGCAAAAAUCCCAAUCAAAUAGGAAAUGGCUCAACACAUCCUACAAAAAAU